UCCCUGGAGGACUAGUGGUUAGGCCACAGUGCUCUCACUGCGCUCUCACUGCUGUGGCCUGGGUUUGAUUCCUGGCCAAGGAA